AUUGAACGCUGGCGGCAUGCCUUACACAUGCAAGUCGAACGGCAGCAUGGAGAGCUUGCUCUCUGAUGGCGAGUGGCGAACGGGUGAGUAAUGCAUCGGAACGUACCGUGUAAUGGGGGAUAACGUAGCGAAAGUUACGCUAAUACCGCAUACGACCUGAGGGUGAAAGCAGGGGAUCGCAAGACCUUGCGUUAUACGAGCGGCCGAUGUCAGAUUAGCUAGUUGGUGAGGUAAAGGCUCACCAAGGCGACGAUCUGUAGCGGGUCUGAGAGGAUGAUCCGCCACACUGGGACUGAGACACGGCCCAGACUCCUACGGGAGGCAGCAGUGGAGAAUUUUGGACAAUGGGGGCAACCCUGAUCCAGCCAUGCCGCGUGAGUGAAGAAGGCCUUCGGGUUGUAAAACUCUUUCGGCCGGGAAGAAAUCGCACAGGCUAAUACUCUGUGUGGAUGACGGUACCGGCAUAAGAAGCACCGGCUAACUACGUGCCAGCCGCCGCAGUAA
rnacentral:rRNA from 1 species